CUUGAACACUUCCUCAUUGUAAGAACCAGGAGAAUUUUGAAGAGGCCUGUAAUCACCAUCGUUAAAAGCCCAAGUUCUUGCUAUAUUCAUGCCAUACUUGGAGGCUUCUCGGAAUGCAUCUGUAACCUUGCUCCUUGUAGAAAGGUCAGAUGCAAACAUCAUCAUCCAAUAAGCAUUGAAGCCAUUGAAGUAAAAAGGCUUUCCAUUCAUGACAAAGUUGGUUCCUCUUGUUUGAAC
rnacentral:lncRNA from 1 species